rnacentral:rRNA from 1 species
AACGAACGCUGGCGGCAUGCCUAACACAUGCAAGUCGAACGAGACCUUCGGGUCUAGUGGCGCACGGGUGCGUAACGCGUGGGAACCUGCCCUUAGGUUCGGAAUAACUCCCCGAAAGGGGUGCUAAUACCGGAUAAUGUCUUCGGACCAAAGAUUUAUCGCCUUUGGAUGGGCCCGCGUUGGAUUAGCUAGUUGGUAGGGUAAGAGCCUACCAAGGCGACGAUUCAUAGCUGGUCUGAGAGGAUGAUCAGCCACACUGGGACUGAGACACGGCCCAGACUCCUACGGGAGGCAGCAGUGGGGAAUAUUGGACAAUGGGCGAAGGCCUGAUCCAGCAAUGCCGCGUGAGUGAUGAAGGCCUUAGGGUUGUAAAGCUCUUUUACCCGGGAUGAUAAUGACAGUACCGGGAGAAUAAGCUCCGGCUAACUCCGUG